CGCGUAGGCGGCUACCCACGUCGGAUGUGAAAGCUCAGGGCUCAACUCUGAGAUGCCAUUCGAUACGGGGUAGCUAGAGGCAGCUAGGGGAGAAUGGAAUUCCUGGUGUAGCGGUGAAAUGCGCAGAUAUCAGGAGGAACACCGGUGGCGAAGGCGGUUCUCUGGGGCUGUCCUGACGCUGAGGCGCGAAAGCUGGGGGAGCGAACA
rnacentral:rRNA from 1 species